UACAGAGGUGGCAAGCGUUGUUCGGAAUUACUGGGCGUAAAGGGCGCGUAGGCGGCCUUCUAAGUCAGACGUGAAAUCCCCAGGCUUAACUUGGGAACUGCGUCUGAUACUGGGAGGCUUGAGUGCGGGAGAGGGAUGUGGAAUUCCAGGUGUAGCGGUGAAAUGCGUAGAUAUCUGGAGGAACACCGGUGGCGAAGGCGGCAUCCUGGACCGGCACUGACGCUGAGGCGCGAAAGCUAGGGGAGCAAACGGG
rnacentral:rRNA from 1 species